AUUCUAAGAUUAAAAUUAAUUGUUAUAUUUCUAGACCGAGUCUCAGUGUAGCCCAGACUUGCUUCACAUUCAGUCUAUGUCCUAGCCAGGCCUUCGACUUGCAGGGGUCUUCUGACCUUGCUUCCCGAGCGCUGUAAGUGUGAGCCGCCAUCUUCCUGGGGAGAAGGUUAAAUGCUAGGGCCAGUUGAAAGCAGUGGUAGGUUACUGCCUGAAGGGAAGCAUUCACUUUCCAGACAACAUGGUGAAAUAAAAUAAGAUUCAAAAAAAACCUUCCCUGUAAAUGUUUUUGUGGGUCAGAUUCAUGGCAAUCAGAUAGGAUAAACAACCGAAAUGCCUCUGAGAGCAGCUGAAGUGGUCCAGCCACAGCAGCCCCUAUCCACAGGUUCAAGGUCAGCAUGUCCGAACCACCAGUGCUUAUAUUGCUUGGUUCUCAUGAGACAAAGAUGGCCGGGGUUCACGAUCAUCGUCCAGGGCAUUGAAAACUUCAGCACGGAUCCUUGCUUUUAAAUGCCCUAACACUCCCCUUUUUUCCAAGGUGUCCUUUAAAAC
rnacentral:lncRNA from 1 species